UGUGACCAGCCUCUUCGAGUUCCUGCCUUGACUUCCCUGCAAUGAUAUUCUGCAGCCUGGCAUGGGAAGCCCAGCAGAACUUCCUUCCUUCAAGUCCACAAGGGGAUGAGUAAGAAACAGACAGAGCUAAUUCCUACUUCCACAAAACAGUAGAGUAGGAAGAUGUGUGGCCUUUUGUGAAUUAGUCCUUGGCUACCUUGAGACUCAACAUCACAGCCCGGGACCAGUGUUGCUGGGGAGGGGGCGGCUCUCUCUUCAGACCUCUGUCAUGGGAGCAUUUCCAGAGAACUGCAAUAAGAAGCUGAUAACAGGAACUGAAGACAGGAGACAUUAAAAAGGCUUGCAGCUUGCCUCCUGUCCUAGAGCCACCUUCCCAGAAGCAGUUCUGCCCACAGUGAGCUGGGCCCUGCCAGCUCAACCGUCAAUCAAGAAAAUGUCUAUACACUUGUGUACAGGCCAAUCCUGUGGAUGCAGUUUCUCGACUCAGAUCCCUUCUUCCCAGAUCCUAGCUUGUGUCAAGCUGACAUAAAUACUAGCUAGCACAAGGAGAGAUGAGAUGCUGGAGCGCUAACUUCAAACUUACUCUGUGUCCAAUCACAACAGCAAAAACGUUGGAAUUCAGAACAUUAAAAAACUAGAUCAAACCCAUUUUCAUAUCACUUGAAUUGCAGAUUUGCUAUACAUAUAGUUUAUUGCUCUCUGCAUGCAAGGUUUUCAACUUCACGUUCUCCUUGGGUCCUUUCUCCUACACACUUUUGGGUAACUUACAGCCUUUGCCUCACUGCUUGCCUUGUUUUCUGCCAGCAAGAUAAGCAUGGAAUGGAGACUUUUAUCUUAGCAGGGCCUCUCCAGAUACAGUGUUCAAACAACCCUUUUCUCUGGAUGUAUUAUUUAUGGGAUUUGACAUUAUUCUUUCACUUUGGGUGAAAAACCAAAGCUUUCAGAGGCAGUGAAGUGGAUGUGGCAACAAGUACCCAGGGCCGCCUGACUCCCUGUGAUCA